rnacentral:rRNA from 1 species
CCUACGGGAGGCAGCAGUAGGGAAUCUUCCACAAUGGGCGAAAGCCUGAUGGAGCAACGCCGCGUGGGUGAAGAAGGUCUUCGGAUCGUAAAACCCUGUUGUUAGAGAAGAAAGUGCGUGAGAGUAACUGUUCACGUUUCGACGGUAUCUAACCAGAAAGCACCGGCUAACUACGUGCCAGCAGCCGCGGUAAUACGGAGGUGGAAAGCGUUAUCCGGAUUUAUGGGGCGUAGAGGGAACGCAGGCGGUCUUUUAAGUCUGAUGUGAAAGCCUUCGGCUUAACCGGAGUAGUGCAUUGGAAACUGGGAGACGUGAGUGCAGGAGAGGAGAGUGGAACUCCAUGUGUAGCGGUGAAAUGCGUAGAUAUAUGGAAGAACACCAGUGGCGAAAGCGGCUCUCUGGUCUGUAACUGACGCUGAGGUUCGAAAGCGUGGGUAGCAAACAGGAUUAGAUACCCCGGUAGUC